rnacentral:rRNA from 1 species
GACGAACGCUGGCGGCGUGCCUAAUACAUGCAAGUCGAACGCAGUGGGGACGGCAGAGUAACACGUGGGUAACCUCCCAUCAGAGGGGAUAACACUAGGAAAAAGGUGAUAAACUGAUAUUGAUGGUUGGAUCGCCGGUUCAUUAGCUAGUUGGUGAGGUAACGGCUCACCAAGGCCACGAUGCAUAGCCGACCUGAGAGGGUGACCGGCCACACUGGGACUGAGAAACGGCCCAGACUCCUACGGGAGGCAGCAGUAGGGAAUCUUCGGCAAUGGACGAAAGUCUGACCGAGCAAGGCCGCGUGAGUGAAGAAGGUUUUCGGAUCGUAAAACUCUGUUGUUAGAGAAGCGGUAUCUAACCAGAAAGCCACGGCUAACUCCGUGCCAGCAGCCGCGGUAAUAC